AGAGUUUGAUCCUGGCUCAGGAUGAACGCUAGCGGCAGGCCUAAUACAUGCAAGUCGAACGGUGAUAGCAAUAUCAUAGUGCCGCACGGGUGCGUAACACGUAUGCAACCUACCUAUUAUUGGGGGAAUAGCCUUUGGAAACGGAGAUUAAUACCGCAUAAUACGAUUGACUGGCAUCGGUUGAUUGUUAAAGCUUCGGCGAAUAAUAGAUGGGCAUGCGUCCAAUUAGUUAGUUGGUUAGGUAACGGCUGACCAAGACGAUGAUUGGUAGGGGAUCUGAGAGGAUAAUCCCCCACACUGGCACUGAGAUACGGGCCAGACUCCUACGGGAGGCAGCAGUAGGGAAUAUUGGGCAAUGGGCGGAAGCCUGACCCAGCCAUGCCGCGUGCAGGAAGAAGGCGUUAUGCGUUGUAAACUGCUUUUUUAUAGGAAGAAGGAUCCCUUGCGAGGGAAGGUGACGGUACUAUAAGAAUAAGCACCGGCUAACUCCGUGCCAGCAGCCGCGGUAAUACGGA
rnacentral:rRNA from 1 species